UACGGAGGAUGCGAGCGUUGUCCGGAUUUAUUGGGCGUAAAGCGAGCGCAGGCGGUUUGAUAAGUCUGAAGUUAAAGGCUGUGGCUCAACCGUCGAACUGCAGUUGAUACUGGAGGUCUUGAGUGCACACAGGGAUACUGGAAUUCAUGGUGUAGCGGUGAAAUGCUCAGAUAUCAUGAAGAACUCCGAUCGCGAAGGCAGGUAUCCGGGGUGCAACUGACGCUGAGGCUCGAAAGUGCGGGUAUCAAACAGG
rnacentral:rRNA from 1 species